GCCUGGGUGGCUCAGUCAGUUGAGCGUCUGACUUCAGCUCAGGGCAUGAUCUCAAAGUUCGUGGGUUCGAGCCCUGCUUUGGCU
rnacentral:tRNA from 1 species